GACGUAGGGCGCGAGCGUUGUCCGGAUUUAUUGGGCGUAAAGGGCUCGUAGGCGGUUUGUCGCGUCGGGAGUGAAAACCCAGGGCUUAACCCUGGGCUGGCUUCCGAUACGGGCAGACUAGAGGUAUGCAGGGGAGAACGGAAUUCCUGGUGUAGCGGUGAAAUGCGUAGAUAUCGAGAGGAACACCUGCGGCGAAGGCGGGUUGCUGGGCUGACACUGACGCUGAUGCGCGAAAGCCAGGGGAGCGAACGGG
rnacentral:rRNA from 1 species